AACUACAACUAGAAGUUACUAUCGCAAGGAAAGUGCUGCCUCAUCCCCAAGGGAUCAAAGGCAGCAUGCGCAAUUUGCUGAAUAAGGGGCUGUUUAUACGAUCCCGCUUUGCCAGGACGAGAUACGAGGUGGGACGAUUUCGUUGUAUUGAAAUAAGUCAUGGUCUACAACUGACAACAUUUGAGUUCUGUUAACCAGCAUUUGAACUUUCAUUUAAUUACCUAGUGAUUGAAAUACAUCAAAAUCAUCCCACUUUCCAUCAUGUAAACAGCCCCUAAGAUGCCUGUUCAGAAUGUCAGAAAAGUGUAUUUUGAAUACCAAAACACCUCAGUUGCACAAUGUUCACAGAACAACUGAACAAUCUGCUCAUGGGGAGACAAAAUCUAUUUGUUGACAUUUUUGUUUAAUUAAUAUGUCUGCUUCAGAGGACACUGUUCAUGGCUAGCUUGCCACUGAAUACUGUGCAAUAUCAUAUAUGAUGUUUGUGAUGUUACUCCGAGUGUAUAUCCACACCGGGCAAGCUUGAAAAAUAUGCCUGACCACGGUGGGAAUCAAACCUAUGACCUUUGGCAUACUAGCCCAAUGCUCUGCCAACUGAGCUACGCGGUCAGGUCAGUU